rnacentral:rRNA from 1 species
UUCCGGUUGAUCCUGCCGGACCUGACUGCUAUCGGAUUGAUACUAAGCCAUGCGAGUCUUUGUAGUAAUACAAGGCAUACGGCUCAGUAACGCGUAGUCAACCUACCCUAUGGACAAGAAUAAUCUCGGGAAACUGAGCAUAAUUCUUGAUAGACCAUAAUGCCUGGAAUGGUUUAUGGUUAAAAUGAUUCGUCGCCAUAGGAUGGGACUGCGGCCUAUCAGCUUGUUGGUGAGGUAAUGGCCCACCAAGGCGAUUACAGGUACGGGCUCUGAGAGGAGAAGCCCGGAGAUGGGUACUGAGACAAGGACCCAGGCCCUAUGGGGCGCAGCAGGCGAGAAAACUUUGCAAUGUGCGAAAGCACGACAAGGUUAAUCCGAGUGAUUUCUGCUAAAGAAAUCUUUUACCAGUCAUAAAACCACUGGUGAAUAAGGGGUGGGCAAGUUCUGGUGUCAGCCGCCGCGGUAAAACCAGCACCUCAAGUGGUCAGGAUGAUUAUUGGGCCUAAAGCAUCCGUAGCCGGCUCUGUAAGUUUUCGGUUAAAUCCAUACGCUCAACGUAUGGGCUGCCGAAAAUACUGCAGAGAUAGGGAGUGGGAGAGGUAGACGGUACUCGGUAGGAAGGGGUAAAAUCCUUUGAUCUAUCGAUGACCACCUGUGGCGAAGGCGGUCUACCAGAACACGUUCGACGGUGAGGGAUGAAAGCUGGGGGAGCAAACCGGAUUAGAUACCCGGGUAGUCCCAGCUGUAAACGAUGCAGACUCGAUGAUGCAUUGGCAUAUAGCCAGUGCAGUGUCGCAGGGAAGCCGUUAAGUCUGCCGCCUGGGAAGUACGUACGCAAGUAUGAAACUUAAAGGAAUUGGCGGGGGAGCACCACAAGGGGUGAAGCCUGCGGUUCAAUUGGAUUCAACGCCGGG